rnacentral:rRNA from 1 species
GACGAACGCUGGCGGCGUGCUUAACACAUGCAAGUCGAGCGGUAAGGCCCUUUCGGGGGUACACGAGCGGCGAACGGGUGAGUAACACGUGGGAACGUACCUUUUGGUUCGGAACAACACAGGGAAACUUGUGCUAAUACCGGAUAAGCCCUUACGGGGAAAGAUUUAUCGCCAAAAGAUCGGCCCGCGUCUGAUUAGCUUGUUGGUGAGGUAACGGCUCACCAAGGCGACGAUCAGUAGCUGGUCUGAGAGGAUGAUCAGCCACACUGGGACUGAGACACGGCCCAGACUCCUACGGGAGGCAGCAGUGGGGAAUAUUGGACAAUGGCGAAAGCCUGAUCCAGCCAUGCCGCGUGAGUGAUGAAGGCCCUAGGGUUGUAAAGC